UCCUCACAGUUAUUGCGUUCCAUGAACUUAAGUCUCUUUUUACAGCAGGGUUGGGGUUUCCAUGGGAGAGCUCCUCAUAGGCUACCCGAAGAAGCAGUUACACAGACGGUGGCACCGUGGCUUCCAGCAGUUCACACCGUGAAAUUAUCCAGACCUAUGAAAGCACAUCGAAUCCUCCAGAAAGAAAAAAAAAUCUAAAUGAGAUGAAAACAUUGAGAAGUACAGCAGUUAAGUAAUUUGUCCAAGAAAACACACAGAUCAGCCCAGGAGCAUGUGCUUGAACUCAGGACAAUUUUUGAGGCCAUUUGGAGGAGACCGUGGGACCAAUGUGAAAAAGAGCCAGAUCCUGGCCCUGAUCUUUGGAGACUUCAGAUAUUCUGGAUCAAGUCUAGAGUCUGAAUUGUAAGAAGACCAGAAAUAUUUUCUCUUU